AAGACACGGAAGAGAGAGGACGCGCCGCUCUCGUGUGGCAGUGCUCGUGGUUCGGUCUUCUCGCUCUCACGGCUCUUCUGCGCGCUGGACAAUCGGCCUCGAUCGCUUUUGAAAGGAUAAUUGUGGUGUUUAUACUGAGAUCAGUUGAAUCUAAGUAAUUAAUGCCAUAAAAGACUCUAGUAAACCUCUCAGACAUCCGGCCAAGAAAAAAACGGAACGAAAGAUUAAGAAGUCAGAAAAAAAAAAAAAUUUAAUAAUAAUUAUCAUCGACUGGCGGAAAUAAAAAAGGAAAUUUGGAAGUGGUUGUCUUUCUCUUUAUUGUGACUGAGGAAGGAGGGAGAGAGAGAAAGAGAGAAGGAAGGAGGGAGAGAUACGAAAGAAAGAAGAGGGAAAGAUGAAGAAUUAGUUCAACCUUCUCCCUUUCUCUAACUGGACCAUAUAUUGUUUUUCUUUUCAAUCUAGUGCUUGAUAACCGAAUGUAAGAGAGAAUAAAACAAGAUAAAAGAGA
rnacentral:lncRNA from 1 species